CCUACGGGUGGCAGCAGUGGGGAAUAUUUCACAAUGGAGGAAACCCUGAUGCAGCGACGCCGCGUGAGUGAAUAAGUAUUUCGGUAUGUAAAGCUCUAUCAGCAGGGAAGAAAAUGACCGUUACUGAUUAAGAAUCCCCUGCUCACUUCGUGCCAGCAGCCGCGGUAAGACGUAGGGGGCAAGCGCUAUCCGGAUUUACUGGGUGUAAAGGGAGCGUAGUCGGUGAUGCAAGUCAGAAGUGAAAGCCCGGGGCUCAACUCCGGGGCUGCUUUUGAAACUGUGUGACUGGAGUGCAGAAGAGGAGAGUGGAAUUCCUUGUGGAGCGGUGAAAUGCGUAGAUAUCAGGAGGAACACCAGUGGCGAAGGCGGCUUACUGGUCUGUAACUGACGUUGAGGCUCGAAAGCGUGGGGAGCAAACAGGAUUAGAUACCCGAGUAGUC
rnacentral:rRNA from 1 species